UCCUACGUUACCAGAAUACGAGCAGAAGACGCAGACUGGACUGACACUCUGUCUGCAACAGGAGAUUAUAAAGACUGCAGUGGAAAUGGCCUAAGAGCAGAGCCUGCACCAAAAGCAGAUCCACAGAGGAGCUCUGCAGCCCAACCCCUCUCUCAAUAGUGAAUCAUCCCUGUGAUUGUGCCAUUGACCAUGAACAGUUGAUUGUACUGUACAACCUCACUUGACCUGAACAUGAAGCCCUGAAGAAUUACUGUACAUCCAGGGUUACCUCACAUUAGGAAUGCUUUUAAUCAGUUCUGCUCUUGCCUCUCUAUGCAGUGCUUACUCAUCCGCAUCUGUGAAGGUGAUGAGUGAAAAACAGCAUUCAGCACUACGCUGGGACACUCAACAGGUUCCCGGGUCCAUGGCUGCAGAGGGGGAAUGAUGAGACUCUGCAGUUGCUGCUUUUAAAGUGCCUUUAGGAUUUACUCUAGAUCAAGUAGUCUCCAUAACCAUAAGUAUUGACAACAUCUCCACCUCUCUAACUUUCACAGGACAGCUGUGGCUCAGAAGGUAGAGCGGAUUAUUAUCCUGAACACUAGAGGCCUUUAACAAAAAUUCCUUAAGUCUAUAUAGUCUCCUGCCCUGUCUCAGCCCCUGCAUAUUCCCUAUGAUUGUGCCAUUUACCUUGAACAGUAAGUUGCCCAACCUCUCUUGACCUGAACAUGAAUUACAUCUAGGGUUACCUCUUGUGAAGAAUAAUAUGUGCUGGUUUCUUAUUUGUUGGGAAUAAGGAUGGUACUCUGUGUAGACUUCCGUGGUCUUAAUAAACAAUAUCUGAUGCCUUUAAUCAGUUCUGCUUUUGUCUGUCUCUGCAGUGCUUACUCAUCCGCAUUUUGGUAUCUGAUCACAGGUUCACAGCUGCCCUGAACUGCGGACACACAUUUAAAACUAUUUAAAACUAUUUAAAAUGCAGCUGGGGUUGAUUGAGGACUCCCGAUUGGUCAAAUCACAGCCACACCAAACACAGACGCCAGGGUACAGCAACCAGGAAGUAGGCGGUCCUGGCUCCAAAAAGGACCAAUCCUCGACAGGGAAUCACACAGCUGGUUUUGUCUAACCGGCAGAAUCACUCCUGGAAACACAAUUAGUACAUGCUAAAUGGCAGCCAACUGGACUUUCCUUUACAUUUAGUCAUUUAGCUGACGCUUUUAUCCAAAGCGACUUUCAGAGAAGGGAAGUUUCACGCUGGCCAGGAGGUGUGCAGAAAAGCAGGUCAAUUUUUAUUUAGUCAUCAAACGAAGGUUGUCUUUUAACACAGAAAAAUAGGGGGAUGCUCUUCCCAUAACACACAAAACUGAAAAAAA